ensembl:rRNA 5S_rRNA 5S ribosomal RNA
GCACAGGUAAACAUCUUUCAUGCCCGAUCUUGUCUAGUCUUGGAAGCUAAGCAGGAUCAGGCCUGGUUAGUACUUGGAUGGGAGGCUGCCUGGGAAUACCGGGUGCUGUAGGCU